AUGGUUGCAUUAUCCGUACACAUGGCUCAAGCUGAGACGGUCGAGUUUGGCGUGGAGCAGGGACAGAUGCUGCAGGUCUUGAUGCGGCACUGCCAGACCAUGAAGCGUCAGGAGACACGACUGCGUCUGGCCACCGCGCUGCUGGUUGCAACAAUCUUCGCGACUUUGGUGUGGAUACAGUUUCACCAACAAAAUACUACGGAAGCAUUCUCAGGCGCUCGUCAAACGGCUUUGAAAACUACAGAUUCACCAAUAGGACACUCUGUUCAUCUUAAACCUUCAAGACAGAUAAAUGCUUGCUCAGAACCACAGUCCAUCGAGUGGGAGGCCGUGGAUGAUGGCUAUGAAUCCCAAAAUUUCGAGCUGAAAAACCAAACAGUUCUCCACAUCUCCACAGAGGGCCUGUACUUGAUCAAUCUGAGGAUCUCUUACCGUACAGCCUAUGGCCUGUGUGAGCCUGGUAAAGAUUUCGUUUUAGUGGUCAGGGUCACACAGUAUCAUAGAAACUAUGAAAGCGAGAGAGAGAUCAUAAGUGCUGAGGAGUCUAUGAUUUGUAGAGAUUAUUGGUUUCAGUCGAUCACUAUGAAUCGAGCAAUCAGGUUAGAAGCUGACACUAGUCUCCGGGUGAAAAUUAACCAGAAAAGUUGCACGUUUGUCAGCUGGACUAAAAACAGUCAUUUGGAUGUCACUUAUGUCUAGAGUUGUUUGUUUUUUUUGUUUUGUUUUUUUUAACUUCCCGAUGGCAUUAAUGCAUAUUUGAGAUUAGUUAGAAACAGCAUUAAGCAGGUGUUAAUUUUUUUUAAUGACCUAAGCUAUUUUUAAGGUGCUUUAAGAAAUAACAAAAUGUUUAACCACUUGGUUAAUAUAUUCAGGUUUAUUGAGAGGCUUACUCUCAUUCUUUAUGUUGAAACUGUUAUUAAAUAACAUUACGACCCAUGUACUAUCCACAAAAGAUGCAGAUUUUGAAUAUAGUUGUUAAGUGCUGUGACAGCCAAAUUGCACCAAAAUGUUGAUAGCAGGUGAAAUUAUGUGUGUGUUUUAUGUUAAAACUUUUUAAAUGUGCUUUUACGAACUGAUUCAUUAAGAGUUGUUUGUCAUUUGAUUUUAAAAAUCAGGUCUAUUAAAUUUAAAUUAGAACCCAUCCUGUUCAUUGUAUUUACCUCUAGGUGGCAGUUGCAUACAUAUGCAUUUCAGAAUGUAACAUGAUUUUGUGGUUCACUCAUAAAUCUGUAGACUUGUCUUGAAAUUCAAACAAAUAAUAUGUUAUUUCAAAUAACUGUUUCAAAGAUUCAAUUUAUAAAGCCACUGUCAAUGAUUUAAAUGUAUAUCNAAAAAAAAAAAAAAAAAAAAAAAAAAAAAAAAAAAAAAAACUUACAGAAUACACAAAACACCAUGUGUUUAUUUCAGGUCACUUUAAUUAGCUCACGAUUGCCUGUGUGUGUCUCCUUGAUUACUGGAUCAGGAAACAUGCUGCAUUUUCUCUGUACUGCAUGAAUAAAAACUUGUAGUAUAAGAGAAUCA
ensembl:lncRNA